rnacentral:rRNA from 1 species
UACGGAGGGUGCAAGCGUUAUCCGGAUUUACUGGGUUAAAGGGUGUGUAGGCGGACUUUUAAGUCAGCGGUGAAAUCUCCGGGCUCAACCCGGAAACUGCCAUUGAUACUAUUGGUCUUGAAUGUUGUUGAGGUGGGCGGAACGGGUCAUGUAGCGGUGAAAUGCAUAGAUAUGACCCGGAACACCGAUUGCGAAAGGCAGCCCACGUAAGCAACGAUUGACGCUGGAGGCACGAAAGCGUGGGGAUCAAACGG